rnacentral:sRNA from 1 species
AACAGUGUUCUUAGAGGUAGCCACACCUCAGCAAGGGCUUUCUAACUUGGAACAGCAAAGUUCAAAUGAACGAAUAGACACAAACUGUGAAAGAGUCCUGAACCCAUUACAAGGCGAAUCUUUACAGCACAAUUGCCCUCUGAAGCUACUUGAAACAGGGCAUGGGACUUAAAGGAGAAAAAAAAGGAAAUGGACCAUCUCUUCUAACACCUGGAAUGUGAUCCAAGCCUGGAGACAAAUUGAUGGAAACCGAGGACCUUGGAAGGCUUCCCACUGGAAGGUCAGUGGAGAUAGUGGAAAUCACAGAACGGUCUGCAAGUAGCAAAGAGGCAGAUGAAAAGAAGAAGAAGAAGAAAGGGAAGAAAUAAAACCUACAUUCCUACAGCAUGAAACCAAUUACCAAGGGACUUAUUAGAUAGGCAAUAAAAAUCUGGAAACUUUCUCUCUUAGGGCGGAGCCAAGAUGGAGAUAAACUGAUG